rnacentral:rRNA from 1 species
CCUACGGGAGGCUGCAGUGGGGAAUAUUGCACAAUGGGCGAAAGCCUGAUGCAGCAACGCCGCGUGAGCGAUGAAGGCCUUCGGGUGGUAAAGCUCUGUCCUCAAGGAAUAUAAUGAAGGUUAUUGAGGAGGAAGCCCCGGCUAACUUCGUGCCAGCAGCCGCGGUAAUACGUAGGGGGGUAGAGGUAUCCGGAAUUACUGGGCGUAAAGGGUGCGUAGGUGGUGUCUUAAGUCAGAGGUGAAAGGCGACGGUUCCACCGUAGUAAGCCUUUGAAACUGGGGAAGUUGAGGGCAGGAGAGGAGAGUGGAAUUCCUAGUGUAGCGGUGAAAUGCGUAGAGAUUAGGAGGAACACCAGUUGCGAAGGCGGCUCUCUGGACUGUAACUGACACUGAGGCACGAAAGCGUGGGGAGCAAACAGGAUUAGAUACCCGAGUAGUC